GACGAACGCUGGCGGCGUGCUUAACACAUGCAAGUUGAACGGUGAUGCUCCAGCUUGCUGGAGUGGAUCAGUGGCGAACGGGUGAGUAACACGUGAGCAACCUGCCCCAGACUCUGGAAUAAGCGCUGGAAACGGCGUCUAAUACUGGAUACGAAACUGGCCCGCAUGGGCAUGGUUUGGAAAGUUUUUCGGUUUGGGAUGGGCUCGCGGCCUAUCAGCUUGUUGGUGAGGUAAUGGCUCACCAAGGCGACGACGGGUAGCCGGCCUGAGAGGGCGACCGGCCACACUGGGACUGAGACACGGCCCAGACUCCUACGGGAGGCAGCAGUGGGGAAUAUUGCACAAUGGGCGAAAGCCUGAUGCAGCGACGCCGCGUGAGGGAUGACGGCCUUCGGGUUGUAAACCUCUUUCAGCAGGGAAGAAGCGAAAGUGACGGUACCUGCAGAAGAAGCACCGGCUAACUACGUG
rnacentral:rRNA from 1 species